rnacentral:rRNA from 1 species
GACGAACCGAGCGAACGUUGUUCGGAAUCACUGGGCUUAAAGGGCGCGUAGGCGGGCUGUCAAGUCUGGGGUGAAAUCCCGCGGCUCAACCGUGGAACUGCCUCAGAUACUGACGGUCUCGAGGGAGGUAGGGGCGAGCGGAACUGAUGGUGGAGCGGUGAAAUGCGUUGAUAUCAUCAGGAACUCCGGUGGCGAAGGCGGCUCGCUGGACCUCUUCUGACGCUGAGGCGCGAAGGCCAGGGGAGCAAACGGG